AGAGUGCCGCCCCUGGCCGCCUCCCCUGCUGGGCCAAAAAGCCGCCCUUGGCCUGACUGUCGUUUUUGUGCCUUCGGAACGCGCUGCCCCUUGAAGAGCGACCGGCGCUGGUCACGUAUUGUUGUUGGGUGUAGAGAAAUUUCCAUUUGACAGACUUUCGCAGAAGGUCGAGUUUCCCUCUAGGACUGGCUCUCUGUGCCCGCUAGUGGCAUUUUCCUUGUAAACCCCUGGGGCCUUCUGUAAUAUCUAGCUGCUUAUAAAUGAUUCCAAGGGGGCGAAUAUGGUGCUCUGCUGCAAAGUCUUUCUCAAAACAGAGGCAUUAAAAUUAGAGGACCCAGCAUAGUCAUGUUCAUAAAUUUAAGUGGGUUUACUCUCAGUAAAACGUGGUUUCCACUGUUCUCUCCUCCACCCCUCCUCCUUUGGAGAUCCCUCAUAGCCAAGUAAGAUUGUCUUCCAUGAACACGGUUUUAACAGUGAGUCCAUAAGUGACUGUGGAGGCCAGUUCUGGAUCCACACAUCCUUCCACAGGGGGGACAUAGGUUUCUGGGCAAGAGUUGAUCACAGUGAGGGUUUGCCUUCCUCUGAGCUUGUUUCUCCCUUUCAUCCAGAGUUCUAGUCCAUGACACUUUUGAUAAAGGCUGUUCUCCAACUGAAGCGCUCGCAGGCCAGUGUUUCUCAAUCACCUGUGCUUAUACUGCAUUUUUAAAGAUUUGCCUUGAGAGAAUCUUUAAUGCUCUUUUGUUGACUACCAGCAUUACGCUUUCCAUUUCUAAGUUCGGAAUAGAGUAGUUGCUUUGGAAGGCAAUAAUCGGGCAUCUGAACAACAUGACUAGUCCAAAGAAGUUGAUGUUGAAGAAUCAUUGCUUCAACACUGGUGAUCUUUGCUUCUUCCAGUACACUGGCAUUAGUUCACCUGUUUUCCCAAGUGAAGUGUAAUUUUUUUCAGACACCACUGAUGAAAUCUUUCAAGUAGUUGGAGUUGGCAUUUUUAAGUGGUCCAUGUUUCACAAGUGUACAGUAAAGUUGGUAGUACAAUAGCUUUGCAAACAAGCAUUUUGCUUUCCCUGCAAACGUCCUGAUUCUCGUACACUCUGCACUUCAAUUGGGAGAAAGCUGCACUCACAGAGCUCAGGCAAUGCUGGAUUUUGGCAUCAGUGUCAGCCCUUGCGGAAAGAUAACUGCCCAGAUGCUAAACCAUCUGAAGAAAGACAUGACAGUAGAUCAUGGCAAGACCCGCAGCCUGUUGAAUGGUUCACGGGGACCUUUGCAAGAAAUCAGCAACAGGAUGGUGACCCAAAGACCCAAAGGAUUCAAGGAUCCCAAUUCAUUCUCUAUGGAAGUGGAAUUGUGCCAAGCCUUUUCUGAGAUGCUGCGGGGCAAUAUAGAAGAUAUUGAUGCUGGUGACAGGGAGGACCCCCAGAUGUGCAGUGACUACGUGAAGGAUAUCUACCAGUACCUGAGGCAACUGGAGGUCCAGCAGCGUGUCUUUCCCUUCUACCUUGAUGGCACAGAGAUCAAUGGGCGGAUGCGGGCCAUUCUUGUUGACUGGCUGAUCCAGCUCCAUGCAAGGUUCCAACUUAUGCAGGACACUCUCUACAUGUGUGUGGCCAUCAUAGAUCGCUUCUUGCAAGCUCAGCCUGUCUCCCGCAAGGAACUCCAGUUGGUCGGUGUUACUGCGAUGCUUCUGGCUGCAAAAUAUGAAGAGAUCUAUCCACCAAGUAUUUUGGAUUUUGUCUACAUGACCGACCGAGCAUACACACCGACUCAGAUCCGGGCAACGGAGCAGAAGAUCCUUAAGGAGCUUAACUUUGCCUUAGGAAGACCGCUACCACUCCACUUCCUGAGGCGAAUAGCCAAAGUUUCUGAUGCAUCUGCUGAAUCGUACCUGCUAGCAAAGUACCUGAUGGAACUGACCCUUUUGGACUACAAUAUGGUGCAUUAUAAUCCUUCAGAGGUUGCAGCUGCAGCAAUUUGUCUGUCUCAGAAGGUCUUCUCAGAAGGCCAGUGGAACCCCAAGCUGUGCUAUUAUACUGGAUAUGAAGAGGAGAGUCUUACCCCUGUGAUGGAGCACAUGGCCAAGAAUGUUGUCAGAGUCAACAGGAAUCUAACAAAACACCUUGCUGUCAAGAACAAAUAUUCUAGCAGCAAAUUCCUGAGGAUCAGCACUAUCCCUCAGCUGAACUCCAGCAGCAUUAAAGACUUUGCAGCGCCUUUGCUGGGUGAAGCCAGGCAGCUGAUGUGAGCACUGCCCAAUCAUUACAUGGAAGAAAAUAAGCUGUUUUUGGAUGUGGCCUUCUGGAGGUCUUUUUAAGGCAUCUGUCAUGGUGGAAGGACCUAAUGCUGUACAAAGCGAAGGGUGGCUGGAGCUGGCCCCAUCUGCAGGCCCCUCAGGACAAGGCAAGGUUGGUGCAGAGUCUGGCAGGCUCUUGGCCACGGAGGAUGGGCCAGCAGCCAUAAGAUGCAGAGCAAGCGGAACCUGCCACAUCCUACCGACCACCUUGAUGAGACAUCCAGGGGUUGAAUGUGUCUUGGUGCCCCUGUGUACAAAGCAGCUACUCUGCCACUACGCUGCGGUUCCUUUCU